UUUGUUUUGGUUUAGUAGUCUGAGGAGGCUAACCAAAUUUGCAUAGCUACAUUUCUGUGUUCAACCGCAUGAUUGUAUCACUGUUAACGUCACAGAGGCAACGUCCAUGACAUAACACAUCUCAGGAAGUGGUAGUGCUCCACUUUGUUGGAGAAACUCCAUACUGAGGGUCAUUGCAGACGGUUUGCUCAUUUCACGGAGGGCAGAGAGAUGGCAAGAGGAACUCUACCACCUAUCUUCGGUAUCCCGAGGAAGCGCAAAGUGUCUGAAAUGGAGGAGACAUAAUAUUUAUCUUUUCUCUAUUUCUUUAUUUUUUAUUGGUUUGUCUGAAGAGAAGAGCAGAUAAUAAAAUGUAUAAUAAUGGAUACCAAUUCCAAGAAACAUAUUAUUUGAAUCGAAAUGAAAUCAUAUAUUGCUGGUUAUUAAGCACACAAUAUACACCGUAAGAAAAUAAAAUGGAGACUUCACAUUUAAUAAAGACUAAUGGGGAAAGUUAAUUUCAAAAUCGA